ensembl:lncRNA
AAAAUGGUUCCCCUUUCAGGACACGUCACAUUUGGAGCCUGCCGGUAAAUCCUCGGGCAGUGUGGGUCACAUGGGUUGCUGGUGCAGAAACCUGUUGUUUCUAUUCAAAAGGUCACUCACUCUUCAACAACACAUAAACUUCACACGCGGUACUAUAAUCCUAUUUUAAUUGACACGUUCUUUAUUUUCAUUCACUCGUGAGAGUGAGAUCCCUUUAUUUUCAUUCACUCGUGAGAGUGAGAUCCCUUUAUUUUCAUUCACUCGUGAGAGUGAGAUCCCUUUAUUUUCAUUCACUCGUGAGAGUGAGAUCCCUUUAUUUUCAUUCACUCGUGAGAGUGAGAUCCCUUUAUUUUCAUUCACUCGUGAGAGUGAGAUCCCUUUAUUUUCAUUCACUCGUAAGAGUGAGAUCCCUUUAUUUUCAUUCACUCGUAAGAGUGAGAUCCCUUUAUUUUCAUUCACUCGUGAGAGUGAGAUCCUUUAUUUUCAUUCACUCGUGAGAGUGAGAUCCCUUUAUUUUCAUUCACUCGUAAGAGUGAGAUCCCUUUAUUUUCAUUCACUCGUGAGAGUGAGAUCCCUUUAUUUUCAUUCACUCGUGAGAGUGAGAUCCCUUUAUUUUCAUUCACUCGUGAGAGUGAGAUCCCUGACUUCCAACCUUUUAAACUGCGGAGUGACCCCACACAGGACCGUCAAACUCCGUCUUACAGGCGAGUCCUUUCACUCGUGAGAGUGAGAUCCUGACCUCCAGUCCUUAAAGGACGAGUCUUUUAAGAACCGUGUCAAUCUAAAAAAACGAUUUUAGCCGCAAUGUGUUCUUGAGUGUUUAUAUUCACCUGGUUCGGAUGAAAAUGCCGGUCAGAGAGAAUCCUCCUCGCUCCCUGGGAUCGUGGACCUCUUGGUAAAAACGCUGGCCAACGGCGAAUUCACGUAGUUGGUCUUUACUGUUUCACUAGAAACAGGCUGUCAUGACAGACUUUGCAGCGUGGGUUCACGAAUCCAGGAAACGACGAGGUCACUCUGUUGGUUCGAAGGACCAAAUAAAUGUAAGGAGUAAAUAUUUAAACAAGACAUUCUUCAGGCGAAAUAAAGACACUCAAGACAGUUUAGAUGGUAACAACGUGCGCACGCUGGGUGGCGCUGCUGUCUCAG